GAUGAACGCUGGCGGCGUGCUUAACACAUGCAAGUCGAACGGAAAGGCUCCUGCUUGCAGGGGUACUCGAGUGGCGAACGGGUGAGUAAUACGUGGGUGAUCUGCCCUGCACUUCGGGAUAAGCCUGGGAAACUGGGUCUAAUACCGGAUAGGACGAUGGUUUGGAUGCCAUUGUGGAAAGUUUUUCGGUGUGGGAUGAGCUCGCGGCCUAUCAGCUUGUUGGUGGGGUAAUGGCCUACCAAGGCGUCGACGGGUAGCCGGCCUGAGAGGGUGUACGGCCACAUUGGGACUGAGAUACGGCCCAGACUCCUACGGGAGGCAGCAGUGGGGAAUAUUGCACAAUGGGCGCAAGCCUGAUGCAGCGACGCCGCGUGGGGGAUGACGGCCUUCGGGUUGUAAACUCCUUUCGCUAGGGACGAAGCGCAAGUGACGGUACCUGGAGAAGAAGCACCGGCUAACUACGUG
rnacentral:rRNA from 1 species